rnacentral:rRNA from 1 species
UUGGAGGGCAAGUCUGGUGCCAGCACCCGCGGUAAUUCCAGCUCCAGUAGCGUAUAUUAAAAUUGUUGCAGUUAAAAAGCUCGUAGUCGACCUUGAGCGGGCGCUGUACAGGUCCGGAUCAUUAAAAAAAUCCGAGUACCUUCUCGCCCCGUAUGACAUAUGGGAUUGCGGGGGUUCGCCCUUCGUUUUUCCCAUUUUACUUUGAAAAAAAUAGAGCGUUCGAGGCAUACGUAUACGACCGUAUUGAAUAAGUUAGCAGAGUAUAAAUAAAUACGACGCUA